GGUCCGUUCUAGACUGCAGAAGGCUGGAUCACCUCCUUCUAGACUGCAGAAAGCUGCUUGCCUUUUUGUAGUUUGCGGAGGACGGGUGAGUAACACGUGGGUAACCUGCCCAUAAGACUGGGAUAACUCCGGGAAACCGGGGCUAAUACCGGAUAACAUUUUGAACCGCAUGGUUCGAAAUUGAAAGGCGGCUUCGGCUGUCACUUAUGGAUGGACCCGCGUCGCAUUAGCUAGUUGGUGAGGUAACGGCUCACCAAGGCAACGAUGCGUAGCCGACCUGAGAGGGUGAUCGGCCACACUGGGACUGAGACACGGCCCAGACUCCUACGGGAGGCAGCAGUAGGGAAUCUUCCGCAAUGGACGAAAGUCUGACGGAGCAACGCCGCGUGAGUGAUGAAGGCUUUCGGGUCGUAAAACUCUGUUGUUAGGGAAGAACAAGUGCUAGUUGAAUAAGCUGGCACCUUGACGGUACCUAACCAGAAAGCCACGGCUAACUACGUGCCAGCAGCCGCGGUAAUACGUAGGGUGGCAAGCGUUAUCCGGAAUUAUUGGGCGUAAAGCGCGCGCAGGUGGUUUCUUAAGUCUGAUGUGAAAGCCCACGGCUCAACCGUGGAGGGUCAUUGGAAACUGGGAGACUUGAGUGCAGAAGAGGAAAGUGGAAUUCCAUGUGUAGCGGUGAAAUGCGUAGAGAUAUGGAGGCACACCAGUGGCGAAGGCGACUUUCUGGUCUGUAACUGACACUGAGGCGCGAAAGCGUGGGGAGCAACAGGAUUAGAUACCUUGUAGUUCACGCGUAAACGAUGAGUGCUAAGUUUAGGGUUUCCGCCUUUAGUGCUGAGUACCCAUAAGCCCUCCGCUGGGAUCCGCCGCAGCUGACUCAAGAUGACGGGGGCUGCAAGCGUGGACAUGGUUAAUCGAGCACCGGGACUUACAGCUUGACCCUUGAACCUAGAUGCUUCUCUCGGAAAGAAGGCAUGUUCCCACCCCGUCUGAAUGGA
rnacentral:rRNA from 1 species